UCAUCUGAAAGUUCCGAGUUAUUCCAAAAUACGUGUUGUAAGAAACCGCAUCCAGAAAAACCCGGUUGUUUGUUAGCUCUAGGAGAAGACUCCUUAACACCAAACGAAGAAUUACAAAUCAACGUCUUUAUAUCAUGUAAUUUGACAGCGAAGCUCCUUUUUUGAAAAAAGUUCCAACUUUGAAACUUUACAAACUUGAUACAAGUGAAUUGGGUGUACAAAAACAAAUAGAUUUUAGCAACGUAAUAGCAGAACAAAUACAAAAAAAUUAUGAAAGAACUGCCAUGUCCCAAUCCUGGAGAAAAUCUUACAGAUGGUAUUGUAAAAAACACAAAACGUAUGCGUUUUCAAACUAAAACUAUAAUAUUAGAUGAUGACGAUUAGAAAAUAUGGUUUUUGAAUUAUAAAUAUCCACACAAAAUACAAUCCGGAGCAGGGAUGCCAACUUAGUGCUUUUCGCACUAGAUUUGGUCCUUUUUAGGACACGCAACACCCGAAAAGGAAUCCCAAUUUUACUGUCGAGUUUUGCCACGGCGAGCGUUAGAGAAGUCUAUUUCAUCUAUUAACGUUUUUUAAAUUUCCCACAAACAUUCCAUAAAAGAACAGGAUAUACUUCUCUCAAAUAAUUUUAAGACAGUAUUAUAGUUGGACCACGCCUCAUCUAUACGGCGAAGAGAAAAUACAUUUCUAUCAGUAAUCAUUAAAUAACGCAUAGAAGUCAUAAAUCAUACAUAAGGAAAUAAUACCCAGAUCCAAUUGUGACGUCCAUAUACUUGACCAAAGGACAAAAGUGUGCAUGUGUUUGACGUAUAUAAUACGUUAAUAAUAGGAAUAGAAAAUCCGGAAUAGCGAGAAGGUGCGGGAUGCCGAAGUCAAAUAUAAUAUUGACCAUAUAACUUGAAAGAAUAUAGUUUCGAAGCAAACACGAUGUUUAUCGAAGAUGGUGCGCAGCUAAAAUUGUGUCCAAUGACGAAUCAACUUUAACUUAUCGGACUAUAGAACGGCCACGAGAUGUCCACAUUAAAAAGUUGCAGGACAACAUAGACACACUUGAAAAAGUUUUUAACUACGUCGCAAAAACACAUUCGUCUAAGCGUUGCCUGGGCAUACGUCAAAUCUUAAGUGAAGAAGAUGAGGUACAGCCUAAUGGACGUGUCUUUAAAAAGUAUAAUAUGGGUGAUUAUAAAUGGAAAAACUUUAUCGAAUCAGAACGUAUGGCUGCAGCAUUUGGACGCGGUCUUCGCGAAUGCAGUCAGGAACAUCGCAAGAAUAUUGUUAUAUUUGCGGAAAAUCGCGCUGAGUGGAUGAUAGCGGCUCAUGGCUGUUUUAAACAGUCUAUGUCCAUAGUUACUGUUUACGCAACGUUGGGAGACGAGGGCGUUGCUCAUUGCAUAAGUGAAACGGAGGUGACAACUGUUAUAACAUCUCA
rnacentral:sRNA from 1 species